CCACGCCGUAAACGAUGGAUACUAGACGUAAGAAGGAGAUCUUUUUGUGUCGUAAGUUAACGCGAUAAGUAUCCCACCUGGGGAUUACGACCGCAAGGUUAAAACUCAAAGGAAUUGACGGGGGCCCGCACAAGCAGUGGAGUAUGUGGUUUAAUUCGAUGCAACGCGAAGAACCUUACCAGGGCUUGACAUAUAUAUGAAGAUCUUAGAGAUAAGAUUGUUUCUUCGGAACAUAUAUACAGGUGGUGCAUGGUUGU
rnacentral:rRNA from 1 species